AUUGUCUUUGUACAAUGGUAGAAUGUCUGUCAUGUCUGCAGGAAAUGUGGGUUCGAGUCCCACAGGCAGCA
rnacentral:tRNA from 1 species